UGAAUACGAGACGCUACGGCGUUGAAGCAGUCUAUGUCAUACUUCCAAGAAAAGCUCGCAGUGUCAUAAACAAAGAAUGCCUGUACCAUAACCGACACAGGUGGGUAGGUAGAGUAUACUAAGGGGCGCGAGAUAACUCUCUCUAAGGAACUCGGCAAAAUGACUCCGUAACUUCGGGAGAAGGAGUGCCUUCGUUAGAAGGUUGCAAUAACAAGAUCCAAGCAACUGUUUAUCAAAAACACAGGUCUCCGCUAAGUCGUAAGACGAUGUAUGGGGGCUGACGCCUGCCCAGUGCCAGAAGGUUAAAGAAGUUGGUUAGCAUUCGCGAAGCUGAUAACUGAAGCCCUGGUGAACGGCGGCCGUAACGAUAACGGUCCUAAGGUAGCGAAAUUCCUUGUCGGGUAAGUUCCGACCCGCACGAAAGGCGUAAUGAUUUGGAUACUGUCUCGGAGAGGGGCUCGGUGAAAUAGACUUGUCUGUGAAGAUGCGGACUACCUGCACCUGGACAGAAAGACCCUAUGAAGCUUUACUGUAACUUGAAAUUGAAAUUGGACUUUAUUUGCGCAGCAUAGGUGGGAGGCGUUGAGAGUAUUCUUGCGGGAAUAUUGGAGCCAUCAGUGAGAUACCACUCUUGUAAUGUUAGAUUUCUAACUUUGUAUCAUUAUCUGGUCAAAGAACAGUUUCAGGCGGGCAGUUUGACUGGGGCGGUCGCCUCCCAAACGGUAACGGAGGCGUACAAAGGUUUCCUCUGAACGGGUAGAAAUCGUAUCUAGAGUGUAAAGGCAUAAGGAAGCUUGACUGUGAGACCUACAAGUCGAGCAGGGACGAAAGUCGGUCUUAGUGAUCUGACGGUGCUGAGUGGAAAGGCCGUCACUCAACGGAUAAAAGUUACUCUAGGAUAACAGGCUGAUCUCCCCCAAGAGUUCACAUCGACGGGGAGGUUUGGCACCUCGAUGUCGGCUCAUCGCAUCCUGGGGCGGUAGUACGUCCCAAGGGUUGGGCUGUUCGCCCAUGAAAGCGGUACGCGAGCUGGGUUCAGAACGUCGUGAGACAGUUCGGUCCAUAUCCGGUGUAGGCGUUAGAAUAUUGAGAGGAGCCCUCUUUAGUACGAGAGGACCGAGAAGGACAUACCUCUGGUGUACCAGUUAUCGUGCCAACGGUAAACGCUGGGUAGCUAUGUAUGGAGAGGAUAACCGCUGAAAGCAUCUAAGUGGGAAGCCCACCUCAAGAUGAGUAUUCCCAUGGCAUAAGCCAGUAAGGUCACGGGAAGAACACCCGUUGAUAGGCUCUACGUGGAAGCGCAGUAAUGUGUGAAGCGGAGGAGUACUAAUAGACCGAGGGCUUGACC
rnacentral:rRNA from 1 species